CCGUGCUCCAUGAUUGUCUGACUGUGUCUGUCUUCCCAGGUAAGGGGCUGGCUCUCAGCACCAGGACCUGGCACAGCAUCUGACCCAGAGGACAGCUCAGUUCAUGAUUGCCAGAUGGCUGCACGCAGCGCGGAGGAGAGCCCCCUGGGUCUGAAAUAGAGGCUGGAGAGGAGGACUGUGAGUCCAGAGGAGGGAGAGUGAUGGUAUCCCACACACAAGCCAGCGUGUCUAGGACUCCUAUCUGAAGACACUGCAGAGUGAUCAAAGUUAACAUCACUGCAACGGUAAUGGGAUGAUGAAGCCAAGCUGGGAGCAGGGGUGCACUGAGAACAGACGCCGCUUCUGCGGUAUCCCUGCCAGAAAGCCUCAACCUGAACCUAAUCAUGAGGAAACAUCAGGCCAACCCAAACUAAGGGACAACCUACACAUUAAACGUCUUGGAAUCUCCGAAAGUGACAAGGUCAUGAAAAUCAAGGAAAGGCUGAGGAGCUUUCCAGACUGAAGGCAGCAAAAAGACUUGGCAACCGAAAGUAACGGCGGCUUCUGAACCAGAUUCUGUUGAUGCCCACAAGGACAUCACUGGGACCACUGGCGGGACUUCCCUGGG
rnacentral:lncRNA from 10 species